UACAUAGGGUGCAAGCGUUGUCCGGAAUUAUUGGGCGUAAAGAGCUCGUAGGCGGUCUGUUGCGUCGGCUGUGAAAACCCGCGGCUUAACCGCGGGCCUGCUUUCGAUACGGGCGGGCUAGAGUUCGGCAGGGGAGACUGGAAUUCCUGGUGUAGCGGUGGAAUGCGCAGAUAUCAGGAGGAACACCGGUGGCGAAGGCGGGUCUCUGGGCCGAUACUGACACUGAGAAGCGAAAGCGUGGGGAGCGAACAGG
rnacentral:rRNA from 1 species